rnacentral:rRNA from 1 species
UACGGAGGGUGCAAGCGUUAUCCGGAUUUACUGGGUUUAAAGGGAGCGUAGGUGGAUUGGUAAGUCAGCGGUGAAAUCUCUGGGCUUAACUCGGAAACUGCCAUUGAUACUAUCAAUCUUGAAUAUCCUGGAGGUAAGCGGAAUAUGUCAUGUAGCGGUGAAAUGCUUAGAUAUGACAUAGAACACCUAUUGCGAAGGCAGCUUACUACGGGAUUAUUGACACUGAGGCUCGAAAGCGUGGGGAUCAAACAGG